rnacentral:lncRNA from 1 species
GGAGCUCCGGGAAGAUGGCGGUUGCCCCCUCCCCCUGUCGGGCGGGGCUCCACAGCGGCAUCGCGAUGACCCUCGGCCGCGCGAGGCUGGCGAGCUGGUAGCCGCCCCCGAGACAGUGUUCUUCUCGGGCAGGCGCCCGUCGGAGCACAUAGGUUGUCCCUGCCUCCGGCGCCCCGGCUCGCUUGCCCUCCUCGACCCUGCUGUCCUGGUGCUGCGGCUGYCCCAGGCGCAGGUGGCGUGGACGAGGGAGCCGGCCGCCUACUGCCCCGGCCGGGACUCGCCAGUCACCCUAGUGUGCAUAGAGCAAACCUUCUGAGCUGCUGGAAAGGAACAGAUUGUCUGGCCAAGCAGCUUGAGGACAGGGAACUUAUCCUCAGGAGAACAAAGGAAUCCGGAACUUUUGCCAAGGAAUGCAGGCCUCCAGAGAUAAGAAGCAGAGGCAUGUGGGGACAAGAUUAAGGUGUUUAGUGGCCAAUCUUGGCCYGAGUGCUGCGGGUGCUGGACACGGCCAGGGGCUGUCCUGCCUGAAACCCAGGCAGACCUCUGCAAGGGAGCAUCACACCUACCCUCCUCUCAGACACUGUCCUCAUAAGUUGUGAAUCUGGCAGUUUGUCCACCCAGGUGAAUCCUGCACUGCCAGCCAGUAAGUAAGCCCUGAUCCCUGGUAGUAUGUGGGGAGUGGACCCUGUCUGGUUAGUUUCUCAGUG